rnacentral:rRNA from 17 species
GAGAUGUUGGGUUAAGUCCCGCAACGAGCGCAACCCUCGUUCUAUGUUGCCAGCACGUCAUGGUGGGGACUCAUAGGAGACUGCCGGGGUCAACUCGGAGGAAGGUGGGGAUGACGUCAAGUCAUCAUGCCCCUUAUGUCCAGGGCUUCACGCAUGCUACAAUGGCUGGUACAGAGAGUGGCGAGCCUGUGAGGGUGAGCGAAUCUCGGAAAGCCGGUCUCAGUUCGGAUUGGGGUCUGCAACUCGACCUCAUGAAG